rnacentral:lncRNA from 1 species
AUCUUAUGAAGUCUUACCUACAUGUCAAAAGAUGAUUCUCUUAGUGGGAGUUGUGCAACUGAUCCUAUGACCUGAGAUCACUAUGGUAUCUUGUGCACAUGAACCCAUAUUUUGGUUUACACUCAUUCAUGACUUUAAGUUGUGUACGGGGUCUUCUGGAUAUGGUGAAUUGUGUACGAAGAUUAUGAGUAGAUCAACAAGGAAUCAAUCGCUUCUAGUAAGAGAAGAUCGCAUUCCAUUUAUUCUAAUCAUAUGAUAAUUCAGGAAGUCUUUGAUCAAAGCAGGAUGAAAAUUAGAAAGAGUUUCUAAUGUUUCAUGAUUUGAAUUAUCAUUAG